AAAGAUCACAUGUCUCAGCUGACUUGCUGAUUCUUCCCUGCUGAAAUGGACCUUUCUGCCAAGGUCAAAAAGAAAAACUGACAGUGUCGGAUGACUAACCCACCACCUCAUGCAGAGCAUUUGGCAGCUUGCACCUUUUUGAAGAGCAUAGCACAUUUUUAAAAUUCCUCCAAAUAAUGAUGAUGAUAAUAAUAAAGGAGAUAUUUGGCAAGAGAGAGAAAAACUGUUUUUCAUACUAUCUUUAUGGAGCUUACAAAAAUGGGAUCAAUGUUAGCAGCAAGGACUUAGGAUAACCUGUCAAUGUACAUUGAUUCCCAAGAGCCUGAGCCACACUUCAGUUGCCUGUCUUGGCCAAACAAAUGUGUCUUAUGGGCCUAAAUUGAAGGGCUAAUUUCUGGUCUAUUGGAAAGGAUCAAACAACUGAGAAGAAAGCCCUUCAGCAACCUCUUAGCCUCUUCGUUCUGGAGAAAUGUCUGGAGAGCCAUAUACUGGUUUUUGUUUAUUCAGUAGCUAGACAUGCCUCUUCCAAGUAAUGAUGUCCAAAGAACUUAAUGUCAUUUUAUAAUUUUAUGAUCUUGAGGUGACCUGGGCAUUGGGUGCUUAUUCAGAUGCACUCCAAACAAAGUGGGAAGGGUAAUGCUGAGACAAAGGAGAUCAUUCCUUCAUGUUAUUUUAAAGGCAUAGACAAAUAGCCCACACACAAAAAAAUCCAGUUUCAGGUUAGCAAAAUUAAGAUCUCCCUUUUGAACAGAGAAAGUCACUGAAGUUUCAAGGCCAAUUCUAUUUAUUAUCAUGGGGAAUAAACUGAAAUUUGUGCUUGCCUUGCUUACAAAUUCAUGCCGUGUUUUUAUUUAAAAAAAAUUUUUAACAGCUUUAUUGAGAUAUAAUUCACAUGCCAACAAUUCACCCAUUUGAGGUAUAUAACUCAGCUUUUGGUAUGUUACAUUAUUAUUUUUUUAAUAAUAGUAAAACAUAUAUACAUAAAAUUGGCCAUUUUAAUUAUAUUUAAUGUGCAAUUCAGUGGCAUUAGUUACAAUUUUGUAAAGCCACCACAUUUCCAAAAAUAUUUCAUAAUCUCAAAUACAAAUUCUGUGCUCAAUAAACAGUAACUCCACCUCAAAGGAUUUUUGAAUAUGCUUUUUUUCAAAGAAAAAAAAAGUGUAGUUGACAUGCAAUGUUAUAUUAAUUUAAAUGAACAGCAUGUUGAAUUGCCAGUUCUGUACAUUAUACCAUGCUUACCACAAUAAAUGCAGUUAUCAUUUGUCACCAUAUAAUAUUAUUACAAACAAACAAAAAGCAGAAACAUACUCAUAAAUACAGAGAAAAACUGGUGGUUUCUAGAGGGUGGGGUUGGGCCAUAGGUGAAAUAGAUGGAGAUAAAAAUAUAAGAUAAGUAAGUCAUAGGGAUGAAAAGUAUAGCAUAGGGAAUAUAAUCAAUAAUAUUGUAAUAAUGUUGCAUGUCAUGUCUUUAAGUUCAAUAUUUCAAACUGAAAUGUUUAUUUAAGAGUUAAAAAUUCUUACACGUUAAAUUAAAAUAAUUUAGAAACAACUAAACCCUAAAAUAAAAAAGUGUUUGUAUCAUAUUCUAUGAGAAUAAGAAGGAUGAAGAUGUGAGAGAAAGAUGGUUUCCCUAACCUCAAGUGUAAUCAGAAGCAAUAAAACAUCUGAACAGGGACACUUGGGUGGCUCUUGAUUUCAUCUCAGAUCAUGAUCCUAGGUUGUGGGAUUGAGUUCCAGUUUGAGUUCCAUACUAAGCAUGGAGCCUGCUUGAAAUUCUCUCUCGAAUGCACACAUACUCUCUCUCCUUCUGCCCCCUUACCCUGCUCACAUGUGCUCUCUCUAACACAAACAAACAAAAAACAAAACAAAAAAUCCCAUAUCUGAACAGUCAUAGGAUGCCAGUUCUUAUGAUACAAGCAAGACAGCAAGAAAGAAGUAUCAAGUACUUGAAUACAGAUAUUCUAUACAUUAUAAUUUUAAAGUUUUUAGACUCUUUUGAGCUUCUUGAAAUUUAUGUCUUUCACUAAAUUUGGGAAAUUUUAGGCCAUUAUUUUUUUCCAGCAUUUUGCACCAUUCCCUCUCCCUCCUUUCCUUCUAUGACUAUACUUACAUUAACUGCAUAUAUUUUAGAUCCUCUAAUUUUGUCACUGAGACUUUGUUAACUUUUCUUCCAUCUUUGUGCUCUUAGUUCUUCAGAUUGGUUAAUUUCUAGAGCUCAAUGUUUAAGUUUGCUAAAUCUUUGUUUUGUCAUCAUCACUCUCUUGUUAUGACUAUCUAGUAAAUUUUUCUUUUUGGAUGUUCAAUUUAUUUUAGAUUUAGGAUUUCCAUUUGAUUCUUAAUGAAUCUCUAAUGAACUUCAUUCAUUACAAGUAUUAUUUCCUUUAUGUCCUAGAGCAGAGUUUUAAAAUCCCUUUCUGCUAAUUACAACAUCUGGGUCAUCUUGGGUCAGUCUCCAUUGAAACUCUUGAGUUUCUUCAGCUGUCUAAUUUUGGAUCCUAUUAUGGAAAUUGUAAUUUAUUUGUUGUAGGGUUUCUCAUUUAUAGCAUGUUUCUCUGAAAAUACUGAUUUUUUAUUUUAGCAGAUUAUUAACCUGACUGUCCUGAAACUUCACUAUCCAGAAUGGUUCUUUUCUUCCAAGUGCACACUCCCCUACACCUAUGCCUCCUUUUGGUAGUGACUGCAAGGAGUUGUUUUUUUAUAUUUGAUAAGCAUUUUUCCCUACCCCCAGAAACUUUUGGAUGGAUUUGGCAAGUUUGAUGAUAGUGCAGGGUGAAUAAACAAUGUGGUUGGUUGCUCAGUUCAUAAAACUCUUAGUAAAUGCCCCAAAGCAAGAAAUAUGGAAAGAAUUAAAGUAGCACUUUGGAGGCCUCAAUUGAAAUUUCUUUCCUGUGUGUCAUAUGUGGUUAAGACAGCUGCAGAAAGCAUAAAAGGAAAGGACCCUUUGUGCCCUUGUCAGUGUGGGGCUCAGAUGAGGUUAGGUUGUUUUACUGUUAAUACUUGUAAUGGUAUUUGUGGAGGGAAAUUAAAAGUGAAAUUUCCUUUAGCUGAUUUCUCAGAUUGCUAAAGUAAUAGGUGAAGGGUCAAGAAGAGGGUUGCAUACACCUCAGAAGAAUCUGCUUUUCUAGAGAAAAAAAAGCUAGGAUCUAGGAGACAUUUUUCUUUCUCUGGGAGCACAUCAGUUUUAAAAAAUUGAGAUGUAAUUGACAUAUAAAAUUGUAUUCAUUGCAGGUGUGUAACAUAUUGAUUCGAUGUACAUGUAUAUUACAAAAUGAUUACCAAAUUCAGUUUAGUUAACAUCUAUUAACUCCGUAGUCACAAUUUUUGUCUUGUGAUGAGAACUUUCAAGAUCCACUCUCUUAGGAACUUUCAAAUAUACAAUACAGUAUUAUUAGCUAUAUAGUCACCAAACUGUAUUUUAUAUCCUCAGCAGUUAUUUAUGUUAUAACAGAAGGUUUGUACCUUUUGACACCUUCACCCAUUUUACCCACAGUCCCACCCUGUGCCUUUGGAAACCACCAAUUUGUUCUUUGUAUCUAUGACUUCAUUUUCUUAAAUAUUACAAAUUUUAGUGAGAUCAUAUAGUAUUUGUCUUUCUCCAUCUGAUUUAUUUCAUUUAGCACAAUGCCCUCAAGAUCCAUUCGUAUUGUUGCAAAUGACAAGAUUUCUUUCUUUUUUAUGGCUUAAUUGUAUAAUCACAGACCUUUUCUAUAUCCAUCCAUAUGUUUGGCACAGGUUGUUUUUAUGUCUUGACUAUCAUAAAUAAUGCUACAAUGAAAAUGGGGUACAGAUAUCUUUUUGAGAGACAGUGAUUUCAUUUUCUUUGGAUAAAUACACAGAAAUGAAAUUGCUGGAUCAUAUGAUAGUUUUAUUUUUAACUAGUUGAGGAACUUCCACAUUGUUUUUCAUAUGGCUACACCAAUUUACAUUAUUACCAACAGUGCACAAGGAUUCUCUUUUCUACACCAACAAUCUUCACCAACACUAGUUAUUUCUUGUAUUUUAAGCCAUUCUAAUAGGUUUGAGGUGAUAUUGUGAUUUUGAUUUGUAUUUCUGUGAUGAUUAGUGAGGUUGAGCACCUUUAUAUAUAUACAUUUUGUCAAUUUACAUGUCUUUUUGUAAAAAUGUCUAUUCAGAUACUCUGCCUAUUUUAAUUCAUUUUUUUUAACGUUUAUUUAUUUUUGGGACAGAGAGAGACAGAGCAUGAACGUGGGAGGGGCAGAGAGAGAGGGAGACACACAGAAUCGGAAACAGGCUCCAGGCUCUGAGCCAUCAGCCCAGAGCCUGACGCGGGGCUCGAACUCACGGACCACGAGAUCGUGACCUGGCUGAAGUCGGACGCUUAACCGACUGCGCCACCCAGGCGCCCCUAAUUCAUUUUUUUAAGUAGGCUUCAUGCCCAACACGUUGCUGUUUUAUUGAUAGCUUGUUUUCUAUUGGAUUGCAUGAGUUCAUUACAUAUUUUGAAUAUUACCCCCUUAUCAGAUAUAUGAUUUGCAUAUAUGUUCUCCCAUUCUAUAUGUUGCCUCUUUAUUUUUUUAAAGUAUAAUCAACAUAUAGUGCCAUAUUAGUUUCAGAUAUACAAUUUAAUGAUUUAACAAUUCUAUACAUUUAUCAUCGCUCAUCAGGAUAAGUGUAUUCUUAAUUCCUUUCACCAAUUUCACCCCUGCUCUUACUUACCUCGCCUCUGGUGACAACCAGUUUGUCCUAUGUACUUAAGAGUCUUGUUUUUUGUUUGUCUCUUUUUAUUUUGUUUCUUCCCUUGUUUUGUUUCUUAAACUUCACAUAUGAGUGAAAUCAUAUGGUAUUUGUCUUUCUAUAAGUGACUUAUUUUAGUUAGCAUUACACCCUCUAGAUCCAUCCAUUUUGUUUCAAAUGGCAAGAUUUCAUUCUAUUUUAUAGAUGAGUAAUAGUCCACUGUGAGUGUGUGUGUGUGUGUGUGUGUGAGUGUAUCACAUCUUUAUUCAUUCAUCUAUAGAUAAACAUUGGGUUGCUUCCUUAUCUUGGAUAUUGUAAAAUAUGCUGCAAUAAAUAGAGGUGUGCAAAUAUCUUUUCAAAUUAGUGUUUUGGUUUUCUUUGGGUAAAUACCCACUAGCGGAAUUGCUGGAUCAUAUGGUUAAUUCUAUUUUUAAUUUUUUGAAUAGCCUCCAUCCUAAUUUCCACAGUGACUGCACCAGUUUGAAUUGCUACCAAUAGUGCACAGGGGCUUCCUUUUCUCCACGUCCUUGCCAUCACUUAUUAUUUCCUGUGGUUUUCAUUUUAGCCAUUCUGACAGGUGUGAGGUACUAUCUCAUUGUCGUUUUGCUUUUCACUCUCUGGAGAUUGGGGAUGUUGAGAAUUUUUUCAUGUUUCUGUUGGCCAUCUGUAGAUCUUCUUUGGAAAAAUGUCUAUUCAGGCCCUCUGUCCUUUUUUAAUUGAAUUAUUAUUAUUAUUAUUAAUUAUUAUUAUUUUGGUGGUGACUUGUAUAAGUUAUUUAUGUAUUUUGGAUAUUAACCCCUUAUCAAAUAUAUUAUUUUCAAAUAUCUUCUCCCAUUCAAUAGGUUGCCUUUUUAUUUUAUGGGUGGUUUUCUUUGUUGUGCAAAAGCCUUUGACUUUCAUAUAGUCCUAAUAGUUUAAUUUUGCUUUUGUUUCCAUUGCUUGAGUAUACAUAACUAGAAUAAUGUUUAUGCAACCAAGUACUGCCUAUGUUUUAUUCUAGAAAUUUUAUGGUUUCAGGUUUCACAUUUAGCCCUUUAGUCCAUUUUGAACUUAUUUAUUUUUGUGUAUGUUGUAAGAAAGUCCAGUUUCAUUCUUUUGAAUGUAGCUAGUUUUUCCCAUAGCAUUUUUUAAGGAGACUGUCUUUUUCCCAUUGCACAUUCUUGCCUCCUUUGUCAUAGAAAAUUCACCAUAAAAGGUUGGGUUUAUGGGACGCCUGGGUGGCCCAGUUGGUUAAGCGUCUGACUCAAUCUCAGCUCAGGUCAUGAUCUCACAGCUCAUGAGUUUGAGUCCUGCAUUGGGCUUUGCUCUGAGAGUGCAGAGCCUGCUUGGGAUUCUCUCUCUCCCCCUCUCUUUCUGCCCAUUCCUUGGCUAUUUGGAAUCUUUUGUGGUUCUAUGGAAGUUUUAGUAUUAUUAUUUCUAGUUCUGUGAAAAAUAUUGUUGGUAUUUUGACAGGAAUUGCAUUACAUCUGUAGAUUGCUUAGGUAGUAUGGACGUUUUAACAAUAUUAUUUUUUUUCUAAUCCAUGAGCAUGGAAUAGCCUUCCAUUUGUUUGUGUCAUCUUCAAUUUCUUUCACCAAUGUUUUACAGUUUUUGGAAUACUGGUCUUCCAUCUCCUUGGUUAAAAUUAUUCCUAGAAAUUUCAUUCAUUUUGAUCCAAUUGUAAAUGCGAUGGUUUUCUUAUUUUUUCUUCCUGCUACCUCAUUAGUAUAGUAAUGCAAUAGAUUUCUGUACAUUAAUUUUGUAUCCUGAAGCUUUAAUGAAUUUAUUUAUCAGUUCUAGUAGUUUUCCAGUGGAGUACUUAGGGUUUUCUAUUUAUAAUAUCAUGUCAUCUGCAAAUAGUGAAAGUUUUACUUGUUCUUUCCAAUUUGAAUGACUUUUAUUUCUGAUUGCUGUGGCUAGGACUCCAGUACUAUGUUGGUUAAAAGUAGUGAGAGUGGACAGCCUUGUCUCGUUUCUGAUCUUAGAGGAAAAGCUCUCAGGUUUUCACCAUUUAAUAUUAUAUUAGCUGUAAGUUUUUCAUAUAUUGCUUCUAUUAUGUUAAAGUAUAUUCCCUCUAAACCUACUUUGUUGAGAAUUUGUAUAAUGAAUAUAUGUUGCAGUUUAUCAAAUGCUUUUUCUGCAUCUAUUGAGAUGAUCAUAUCCUUUCUCUUGUUAAUGUGAUGUGUUUUGUAGAUUGAUUUCUAAGUAUUGAACCACACUUGCAUCCCUGAAAUAAACCUCACUUGAGUGUGGUGAAUAACUUUUUGAAUAUAUUGCUGCAUUUGAUUUGUUAAUACUUUGCUGAGAAUUUUUGCAUAUAAGUUCAUCAGAGAUAUUGGUCUAUAGUUAUAUAUUUUUUUGUAGCAUCUUUAAUUGGUUUUGUAUCAGGAUAAUGCUUGCUUCAUAAAGUGAAUUUGGAAACUUUCCUUCCUCUUCUAUUUUUUUGGAAUAGUUUAAGAAGAAUAGAUAUUAACUCUUUAAAUGUUUGGUAGAAUUCACCGGUGAAGCCAUCUGGUCCUGGACUUUUGUUUGUUGGUAGUUUUUUGAUUACUGAUUCAAUUUCUUUUUUUAAAAUUAUUUAUUUAUUUAUUUGAGAGAGACAGAGACAGUGCAAGUGGAGGAGGAGGAGAGAGAGAAGGAGACAGAGACUAUCUCAAGCAAGCUCUGCAUUGCCAGAGUGGAGCAUGAUGUGGGGCUAGAACCCACCAAACCAUGAAAUCAUGACCUAAGUUGAAACCAGGAAUUGGACACUUAACUGACUGAGCCAUCCAGGCACUCCGUCAUUAUUGAUUCAAUUUCAUUGUUAGUAAUUGGUCUGUUCAAAUUUUUUGUUUCUUCCUGACCCAGUUUUGGAAUGGUUGCCUUUUCAUUUUUUUGUUGGUUUCUCUGCUAUACACAUGCCUUUUAGUUUGAUGUAGUUCCACUCAUUUAUUUUUGCUUUUGUUGUCUUUGCUUUUGCAAAGACUGAUGUCUAGGAGCCUCCCCUGUGUCUUUUUCUAGGAGUUCUGUGGUUUUAUGUUUUAUGUUCAAGUCUUUAAUCCAUUUUGAGUUGAUAUUUGUGUAUGGUGUUAGAUAAUGGUCCAGUUUCAUUCUUUUGCAUGUGGCCAGUUUUCUCAUCACCACUUAUUUAAGACGCUAUUCUUUUCUCAUUGUAUAUUCUUGGUUCUUUUCACAUAAAUUAAUUCACCAUAUAUGCAUAAGUUUAUUUCUGGGGUGUCUAUUGGGUUCCAUAUUUCUCUGUUUCUAUUUUUAUGCCAAUACCAUACUGUUUUGAUGUUAUUGCUUUUUUAUAUAGUUUGAAAGCAGGGAAGUGUGAUGCCUCCAGCUUUGUUCUUAUUUCUCAAGGUUGGUUUGGCUAUUCAGGAUCUUUUGUGGUUUUAUACAGACUUCAGGAUGGUUUGUUCUAUUUCUGUGAAAAAUAUCUUUGGAAUUUUGAUAUUCUACUUUUUGGAUCUAGAAUUUCUAUUUUAUUCCUAAUAAAUGUAUGUUUCUUUGAUGAGCUUUUGCAUUGGAUCUUUGGGUACUAUGGGCAUUUUAGUAGUAUUAUUUCUUCCAGUCCAUGAGUAUGGAGUGUCUUUCCAUUUAUUUGUGUCUUCUUCAAUUUCUUUUCUUUAUUUUUUUAAAAAUGUUUAUUUAUUUUUGAGAGAGAGAGAGAGAGAGAGAGAGAGAGUGAGUAUGUGCCUGACUGGAGGAGUUGGGGGGAGAAAGAGAGAGGGAAAGGGAGACAGAGGAUCUGAAGCAGGCUCUGUGCUGACAGCAGAGAGCCUGAUGUGGUAUUCAAGCUCAUGAACUGUGAGAUCAUAACCUGAGCCAAAGUCAGACAUUUAACCAACUGAGCCACCCAGGCUUCCCCAAUUUCUUCUCUUGACCAAUGUUUAUAGUUGUUAUCCAUGAGAGGGUAGCAAUAAGAGCUGCUGCUUCACUACUAAAAGCUUGAGAUAUUUGUACUCUUGACCUAUCAGAUUAUGGAAACAUUCCUACCUGAGGAAUCUAUUUGUAGGAUUGACUUUCCAUAAAUCAUCUUUUCUAUGAUAUGUUUUUAUUGAGAUAUCAACUCCAUAACAUACCCAGUUUAUCAUAAUAGAAUAUUUGAUAUAAAGUGCAACCAUAUAAAUAUAAUAUAUUUUAUUUAACCAUAUUUUCCAUGUAUUUAUCUAAUAAAAAUAUUUACUGAAGGCAUAAUAUGUGCCAAGGCAUUGUGUUAUGUGAUGGGAAUAAAACAUAGAAUAAGACAGGCAUAGUCUCUUCCUAUUAGAGCUUACAUUUUAUUAAUUUCUCAUUUUUCUGAGAGAAGAGGAAAAUAGUGAGAAGUCUUGUCCAUACAAACUCUAGUGGGAUAAAAUAAAGCAAAAUGACCUCAAAGUAAUGGUCUUUUCAUAGGUCCUGGAAAACACCAAAAAUUGAAGUGUGGAUGAAUCUUGUUUGGGAACCCUCCUAGUGGAGAUUCUGAGCUCAUUGUCCCCUCAAUAAUGUAAUGAUUUUAUUUAGUAAUUACUUAACUUACUCAUCUGAAGUUGUAAGGUUGUUUCUGUGUGAAUUUUGUGUGCUCCCUUACUCCAUCUUAUGUAGGAUGUUUCCACUCGAGGACAAGCUCAACAUACCAGCCCAUUAAGCCCAAGUGAGAAUUCCAGGGCCAGCCAUCAUUGACUCACUGACUCUGAGUUUAAGGGAGACAUUUCCAAGAAUUUGGGAAUUAAGGUAGUAUAACUAAUUUAAUUUGAAACUGUAUUUUGGGGGUAAGGUGGAGUGUAAAGAUCAAGAUGCAAUGGACUAUGAUUGAAAAUGCCUGCUUGGGCUGUCAGGAGAUCUGAUUUCCCUCCUAAACUUGCUGAUCACAGACUAGUCACAUCCCCUUUAUGGAACGGAGUUUCCUCACACAUGAAAUGUGCAGACUGGACAGUUGAUAUUCCAGCUGAAAUCAAAUCUCCAUUAAAGAUCAAUGGGGUGCAUUUAUUCUGAGAAAGAAAUGUCUAAUUAAACAGAGAUAUCUACACUUUAAUAAGAGACAACUCCUCAUUGCUCCCCACCAUACACCCCUCCUUUAAUUCUUAAGCUCAAGUUAUGAAUUUCUAAUUGCAAAAAGGCCAAGCAGAUCUAGCACACACAGAUACGUGCUUGUGUGCAUGCAAGUGCGCGCGCGCGCGCACACACACACACACACACACACACACACACUGUUAAAUCUAAGUCCAAGGUCAACAUUGAAAAUAGACAUUUUUAAAUAGUGAAUUAAGUCUUCUCUAAAUUCUAACUUUAAACUAAAGGUAAAAUUCAGUGUGUAAAUUAUUCUAGCCAAGAAGCUGUGAUAUCCUAUACAUACGGCUGCUCUGUUAACUUUUCCCCAAGUUUAUUUAGUGCUGAGUAUUGUGCCUUGCAUGUCAGAGCUGGGACUAAUCCUGUCUGUGGUCUCUACUCCUAUGGGCAUUUCUGGUACUCUGAGACUAACACACAGGAUCUGUCAUGUGAGCCAGAGAAAAAAUUGUUGAAUCACACCAAUCUAAGAGACCAACAUACCAAUUGACUGGGAACAUUAACAAGGAGCAAACAGAAUGAGAGAGGGAAGGAGAAAAAGGCUGGCUUCUGGAGGCAGAGAAAAGAACUGUUGGAGACAGGUGAUGGCCACAAUGGUUUGAGUCAGUCCAUGGGGCUACUUAGAGAUGUCAUGGGAGGGGCCUCACUCUGAUGUUUAAUCUUCCUUCUAGGAUACAGCCCUACCAUAAACUGUUCAUAUCUAGAUCUGGGAUGCACUUAUUUGUUCCCGAAUAUCCAAUCUAAGUCCCCUUUCCAUUCUACUUAGUUAUUCCACAAAGUCUACUUCAAUGACAAUAGUCAAGUCAAACCUGCUUCAAGGAGUAGCUAGAAUUCCUAGAUCAGGUGGAGUCUCUCCUAUAGUCUUUGGAGAACCCCACCCUAGAAGGUUUCUUGAGCACUUCAUGGGUGUAAGACAGCAUGCUUCUUGGGGGUAGUAACUAUGUGCAUUUUAUUAUUUUUUAAUGUUUAUUUUUGAGAGAGAGAAAGAGAGAGAGAGAAAGAGAACUGGAGAUGGGCAGAAAAGACACAAAGAAUCUGAAGCAGGGUCCAGGCUCUGAGCUGUCAGCACAGAGCCUGACACGCAGCUCAAUCUCACAAACUGUGAGAUCAUGACCUGAGCUGAAGUCAGAUGCUUAACCGACUGAGCCACCCAGAGCCCCUAUAUGCCUUAUUUCUUUACCUGCCAGAGUGUCUGAUACACUCUUUAGAAACGUUGUAACACUAGGUUUCUACAAAAAUUGUUCUUUGACUUGUUAUUUUAGUGACAACUUAUCAGGCUUUUCUUUACUUAAAUGGCUAAAUGUGAAUACCUCAGGCUAAAGUAAAAGUCAGCCUUUUCAGUUCUGAUGGACUUCACCCCCUACUAAAGAGAUUCCUGUUCUGGGUCUCUCUGUUGGGAGCUCAGGCUGAGGUUCAUUGAGUCAGCAGAAAAGGAUACUUAAAGUGAUUAUAGCACAUUCUUCUUUGUGUGGUGGGAUUCAUCCAUUGUUGGUAAGGUGGAAGUCUCAUUUUUUUCAGUUUCUGACAUAACUAUAAUAACCAGGAAGUCCUUUCAGAAACAACGGUGCUGUCCACUUUGGUUAAACAAUUAGGUCAAUUAGAUUUUAGAAGGGCCAGGCUCAAACCUUUUUCAAAUAUCUUGGUAAAUAGAGAACGCUUUUCUGAGGGUUGGAUAGAUGAAGAACCAUGGAGAAUGAAUUUUAGUGUAAGCCUGGAUGUAGUCAUUGAAACAUGUAUAAAAGCCCAUCCUGCAUCCUGGCCUCAGAUGGAAGAGGACAGGAAGAUUUGAAAUACUUCCCUGGACUUCCUUAGAAAGCAGCACCAUGCCCUUCAGUUUCUGUGAAGGCUACCAUGGUGUGCCCUGGAACAAACCUCUACUUCCAUCUGCCACAGCUCACUAGACACUCAGUAAGUGAGGCAGAGGAAAUAGCUUAUUAUUUGAACAAGCCAGAGAAGUGGCUUCUAUGGAGGCUCACUAUGAAAACCAACCCAGUAGGCAAAGUGUCUUCAAAAUCAUUUCUUUUUUUUUUCAAUAUAUGAAGUUUAUUGUCAAAUUGGUUUCCAUACAACACCCAGUGCUCAUCCCAAAAGGUGCCCUCCUCAAUACCCAUCACCUCCUCUCCCUCCCACCCCCCAUCAACCCUCAGUUUGUUCUCAGUUUUUAUUCAAAAUCAUUUCUGCUUUCUGGGAAGAGUAAAUGACAGUGGAGCGAAGAGAAGGUGAUUCUUCCAAAUUCAGUCUAUGCCCCAAAUUCCAUGAAGUUGUUUCUGUUCUUCAGAUGAGGUGCCAGCUGAAUUCCAGUUUUUCAAAGACUGUGGCCAACAGUCACUCCAUGAUCCUGAUACUUCAGUGAAUUCCUGGCAAUGGACACCCAAUACUGAAGACACUCUGUCCCUGCCAUUCUCUGGUGAUUUCAAAGAUCCUAAGAGGGGUGACUGGGUGAUUCAGUUGGUUAAGUGUCCGACUUCAGCUCAGGUCAUAAUCUCAUGGUUUGUGAGUUCAAGCCCAGCAUCAGGCUCUGUGCUGACAGCUCAGAGCCUAGAGCCUUCUUCAGAUUCUGUGUCUCCCUCUCUCUGCCCAACCUCUUCCACCCUCCCUCCCACUUGUUCUCUGUCUCUCUUUGUCUGUCAAAAAUGAAUAAACAUUUAAAAAAAUCUUUAAAAAGAUGCUGAAAAAUAAAAGCAUUAUAGCAUAUUUAAAGUUGGAGAGGAAUAGUAAUAAUAAUCUUUGGGCUUUUUGGGUCAGCUACUUCAGCAAGGAAUCAUAUUUUGAAAUUAAAAACAAAAACAAACAAACAAACAAACAAAAAACAAACAAAAAGAACCUCAACAUCUCAGCUAUUGUUUGAGCUGUCUGUAAGCUUCAGAGGCUGGAAGCAAAGCAGCACCUUCAAGUCCUUCCCCUAAGGUCUGAGCUCCAGGUCUCCAAAGGUGGCCCUCUGCUAGAGAGAUAAAUAACACUGAAGUGAUCUGCAUCCAAUCUGGAGGAACCUUCCUUUUUUUCUGGAAUCUUAUCUCUGAGCCCUGAAUCUGCCCUCACAUGUGCCCACCUGGUGGUUCUGAUGAGACUUGUCUGAGUGUUGUCCUGUUUUUCUGUAGGCAUUGAUGAUGGAUUCAAGGUGAAAAGGAGUGUGUCCUCCUCUUCAGUUCCUAAAUCAACUAUAGACUUAACUGUGAAACUGGGCUUUUUACUUUCUCACCAUACUUUGAGAUAAAAGGGGCAUAGGUGUUCAGAAGUCAAGUAUCAUUUAUGUAUCUUCUAGAAUGUCAAGAUGUAAUAUCACUGGAUCAAGUUUUUCACAACAUUCCCCCACCCCCAAAUGGUCUGUUGCUGCUUAACUACAUUCUUAGAAAUGAAGAUGUCAAGUGAUGACACUGUGUAUAUCGCUAUCUGUCUCUCUGCAGCUGGUUUUCAACAAUAUGCUCUUUCAUUUGAAUGGAAUGUCAAGAUUCCUGAGCCAGACCAGGUUUACUUUGGAAAACAUGCUCUCCAGACAUAUUGAUGAGAGGAAGGCAUAUCAGAUUAUUGAAAAGGGAGAAGAUGAGUUGUGUGCUUAGUAUACAGGGUGGAAAUGCUUGGAUCAUCAUGGUCCAGACCUCUGGGUAACAAGGUAAUGCAGAAAGUGUUAGUGGCUUUUCUUCUCUGACUUUAAAUCACCCUCUACCCAAAUUGUUGGACUGCAUUUGGAAAGCUACAGAAGAAUGUCUAGAAAAUUACUUUUAUUUCUUAUAAAGGGUAAUAAAACAUAGGGGACAAAACAAUAAUGAUAAUAACAGUUUGGCUGCCAGAAGGGUAACAGCAAGACAUUAGAUUGUGGUUUCAAGUUUCGUGUUUCCUCUGUUGUGUUGUGCUGUAUGGGCGAUGUGGCUUUUCAAGGGCUACAUUUCCUGUGAUACCUAUUGGUGAUCAAGAAUUAUGGUGCUUGACUUCUGAUUCACAUAUUUGGAGGAGAAUUUGUAGCUUAUUAUGCAUUUUUAUUGUUGGUUAACUUCUAUUUGACACAGGUGGGCAAAAUUGAUUUGUAAAUGAAUUGCCAUCGAAUAACUUUCAAAAAUAUAUAUUACAAAAGGGUACAUAAAAGUAAAGUAAGAUAGAACAUCUUUGAAAUUGAGAUCAGUAAAAUAGUUAUUGAAUAUUCACUUCAUGUGUGGUCAUAUCAGAGAUGAUUUCUAAUUCCAUUUGCAAGAUGUUCAGCACAAUAGCCUUUAAAAGUAGAAAAGAAUUGAUGACUGUGAAAUGAUAUCCAGAAAGGGAAAAAUUAGGAAAAUAAAUUUUUUGGAAAUGUGUCUGCUUUGGCUUUAAUUCCAUUUAUAGUCACAUCUUGAAACCUAUGUAUUUGCUUUAUAGCAGAUGUACUUUCAUGGUCACACUAUCCCUUGUAAGUUUAAAGCAAUAAAAGUGAUUCAAUAAGAUUGUAUCCAUUCUUCAUCCUUAGGUGCCCUGCACCUUUAUAAUUUUGAGGAUAUUCAUUGGAAGUUCUCAACUCCUUGAUAUGAAGAGACAUCAUACACGGCCCAUGGGAUAGUGGAACGAUGACGAAAUUCAGUCUUUCUCAUAGUUUUGGUUUCUUCCUUUUCCUUUUCCUUUGCUUUUUUCUCUGGCUGUCCUUUCUCUCUGUAAUUGCUCCCCUCUUCAUUAUGCUUCAUUACCACCUCCACCCUCCUCCUUGAGUCACACACACAUACUCUUGAUCAGUUCUCCCUGUAGUGGACAAUUGCUAGGUUUUGUGGUUGUUGCUGCUGGUGUUAUUACUUCACUGCUACUGGCCAGCAUCUGCACUAUCUUUCUGUGGGAUGGGGUAUCAGCCAAUACAUGCAUCUUAGUGGGAGGCAGGGUGCUGCUUCCAUCUAUGUAUAAAACCCUGAAGGGGUCAGUCAUGAUCUCUUCAUACCCUUAGUGUGUCAAAUGUGGGCAAAACUUGGUCACCUAGAUGGCUCAUGUGGGACUCUGAAUAUGGAGGGAGAGGUUAAAAGAUACAGUGUCAGUUGGAAAUUACCCAUGAGACAGGGUCAUGAUGGGGCUGGUUCUGUGGAAGGGACUUAACUGUGUCCAUAGCCACCAGAUGAUUCUACUUCCUGCCUAUUUUAUAAGUUUAGUUCUUGGCCUUCCUGAUGAUUUGAUAGCUAGCUUCCAAUAAAUUCCUUUUUUUUAACUACAUGAACCAGAGUCCAUUUUAUUAUUAGCUAUCAAUAACUUUGAUGAGUGCAUAGUAAUCUAGGCAGCCUCCAUUUUUCUCCAUUUCUCAGUUCUCCAUAAAAAUAAUUUGGUAAAGUGUUGUUUAUUGU
rnacentral:lncRNA from 1 species